rnacentral:rRNA from 1 species
CCUACGGGCGGCAGCAGUGGGGGAUCUUGGACAAUGGGGGAAACCCUGAUCCAGCGAUGCCGCGUGAGGGAAGAAGGUUUUCGGAUUGUAAACCCCUGUGGAGGGGGACGAUAAUGACGGUACCCAUUUAGGAAGCCACGUCUAACUACGUGCCAGCAGCCGCGGUAAGACGUAGGUGGCGAGCGUGGUCCGGAGUUACUGGGUGUAAAGGGAGUGUAGGCGGGAAAGCAAGUCAGAAGUGAAAACUAUGGGCUUAACCCAUAGCCUGCUUUUGAAACUGGUUUUCUUGAGUGAAGUAGAGGCAAGCGGAAUUCGUGGUGUAGCGGUGAAAUGCGUAGAUAUUGGGAGGAACACCAGUGGCGAAGGCAGCUUGCUGGGCUUUUACUGACGCUGAGGCUCGAAAGCGUGGGGAGCAAACAGGAUUAGAUACCCUUGUAGUC